GAUUGUAAACCAGAGUUUCAGACGGCUGCCCGCCGCUGUGCUCAGGGCCGGUGUCUCUUGAGAUGCUGUGAAUUACCUGUCUCGAUGAGAAGAAAUUUCGCAGACAGAAAAGAGUAUCUCUGCCCUCGUAAGCUGUUUUUGUUUUAGUCCAGAGUUUAUUGUGGCAAAAAUUCACUUCUGCCUUCACUCGCUGCAGCACACUGAUUGCGGAGCGAUUUUGGGGGCAUAUCUGUAGGCGCUGUGAAAAGCAGGUUGUGAGUGAGCUCUAUUCCCCACUUGUACCCCAAGCGGUGAAAACUAAAUCACAAGUGUCUUAGUUGUGAUCAUUUUCUGAAAUGGACUACAACAUGCAAUAUUUCUAUUUAUUGUAAUUAUUGGAAACGUUUAUGAGUAGGCCAAACUAAUUUCUGUAAACAGCUUUUGAGGUUUUUUUUUUUUUAAAUUAAUGCACCGAAAUUAUUUGUUUAGGGGUUCAUUCAGGGUUCCAGAAAAAAAAUGCCUAUCUUUUAUUCUAGAUUUGUAGCUUUUCUAAAUAUGAAUCCUGACUGAAUAGAAACACGGUAAGAUCUGAGCAAUGAAGUAGAAACUGAACGAGUUGCAUAGAAUGUUCCAGAAAUAGACAUUAGAUUGGAAGCAGCAGAAUAGCAGUGACCUUCUUGACCACAGAACAUGUGUCUCUGUUGCUGCUCCCCCACCUCUGUAGCACUGUUAAUUUCGCAGUGUUGUGCCACUGGCACGGAAUUCUUUUCAUUAGAAAUUCCACAUCUGUUUUGAAAAGAUGUUCCCUCUACUUUUCCCCUUCAAACAAAAUAAUAAUUCUCCUGGCUACGUUUUUAUACUUUAAGGCAUAUAUGCCAUCUUAAACAUGAUUUUUAAUUUAAUAAAAUAUAACGUUUAAUGCUUUUAGUUGUAUUUGCAGUGUAUGCUGGUUGUAUGAAUUUGAAAGAGGACAUUUGAAGGUGAUUACUUUUAUUUUGGUAUUAGGCCACUGAAAUUCCAUAUUCUCUUUCAUUGUGAGCAAACUUUUUAUUUUUAAUUGGAGAAUUAAGAAUUUGUCGUAACAAAAAUCCUGUGGAUUAAUAAGAUGAGAAGAUAUAUUGAUUAAAUAUUUAUCAUUAGGGACAUUAGAGAUAAGGCCAAAUACAACAGGACUCAGACUAUUUCAAAUUGUAAGCUGCCUUUAGCUGGUGUGUACUAUUAGGGAUGGGAGUGCUGGUACACAGGCUACCUCAUAAUUCCAGUAAAGAGCAGACAGAAAGAAAAAAUAGUUACAUAAUCCUUUCUUUUUAAUACUUUCUCUUUUUUCUUUUUAAUUCUGCUGGAGACUGCAUUAAAAAGAAAGAGUGAUGCUGAUCUUGGUAUAUCUGGGCAUCAGGGUAGAACUAGAACGAUCAGUUGAUUUGUGCUAGCUGUUUGUGCUGCUGUGCUGGUGUUGGGUGACUCCCGCCCUCUGCGCCGUCUAAUUUGUAGGCAGACAAUUACCUCUUGCUUUGAAAGGUCAUGAGUGUGCCUGCCUUUGCCAUUUGAUGGCUUCAAGUUCACCUCCAACAAAAUUUUAGAGCCUUUUUCUUGAUGAGCUCCGUUGGCUUCCGCUACAGCAGCUUGCUAUCACGGAGUAAGGAAAGCAAUUUUUUGAAUUAAUAAAGUGAUGGAUUGUCUAAUUAC
rnacentral:lncRNA from 1 species